rnacentral:misc_RNA from 1 species
GUGCUACUGACGGUUGCUCUAGAUCCGUUCAUCCUGGUGGUUUUGUGAGGUCGAAAGCGGCGAGCGAAUUAGAAGAUGCUGGACAAGCUGUGGGACGACGUGGUGGCCGGGCCUCGCCCGGAGACGGGCCUCGAGAAGCUCCGCAAGGCCACCACCGCCCGCCCGCUCGUCAUCAACAAAGACGCGGACGGCGGCAGCUACAAGCGGGCGCAGUCGAUGCCGUCGACCCCGACGACGCCGGUGACGCCGUCGUCGUCGUCGUCGUCGACGACGCCGCGCGGCGCCGGCAACGUGUGGCGCAGCGUCUUCCACCCGGGGAGCAACCUGGCCACCAAGGGCAUGGGCGCCAACCUCUUCGACCGGCCGCAGCCCAACUCCCCCACCGUCUACGACUGGCUCUACAGCGACGAGACCAGGAGCAACCACCGCUAGAUCGGGCGAGAUGGAUGGACAGUGAAGAGGCCAUGUUUGCUGGUCCUUGUGGUUAUCUAAAACGCACGCAUGCUCUAUUAUAGCUAGUCAUCACUAUAUAUAUACUUGUGUUUGUGUAUUGUUGUUCUUGUUCUGCUGGUGUCUCCGCCGUUUAAUUUGACCUAUGUUAUGGAGUGAGUGAUAUAUGUGCCGUCACUCCUAGUAUAUAGUAGUGAGUGACUAGUUGGUAUGUGUAGUACUGUACUAUCUUUUCUCCAUAUGCAUGUUUUGCCAGCGCGUAAUGAAUGUAAUGUCAG